UCCCAGCCCACAAGGGACAUAGGCUAGAGGAUUGUGAGUUCAAAGUCAGCCAGGCCUCUGUAAAGAGUCCCUGUCUCAAAACCAAAUAAAAUUCCAUACAAUUAAGUAAUUGAUUCUAUAGUCAAGACAGGACUUCGUAGUGUCUUUGUGGUUGUUAUGGAAACCAUAUCAUUAUUACCUGCUCUGUGUUUUAAAUGCCAGGAUGACAUGGGGCCUAGCAUUGUGCCACGGGUUGAUGAAUGUGGUGAUCAGGGUAAAAGGGAAUUGGCCGAGGAAGAGGAGGACCUUCCCAGGAGGCCCAGAAAGCUCAAGACACCUUAAGAGAAAGAGAAGAAAAUUAUUUUAAAAAGAUUGAAUGAAGACUUAUUAUAAUUGACUUUGCAAAAGCUUGAAAUACUAACUUGUGACACCGUUUCAAACUCUUUGUGAAACAGGGACCGUGAUAAGCUGCAAGCUUUCACAACUGUCAACCGUAAACACUGGAAGAGAAGCAGCCACGUCAAUUAUGGAGCUUCUCAAAGGCUGGAUGUGUGUGUCAAUCACCCGGGUUCCCGUUAAAAUAAACCACAAUGCGUUUCAUGAAAAACCAUCGGGCACAAAAGCAAAGCAUCAACAAAUUGAUACUUUCUUGCUUCGCCACGCCUGAUUUAAGGAAAUGAACACAAAAUGGGCUGCAAUUUGAAAAUUGACAUCAACCACAUUUAAGACUGUUCUCUUUUUUAAAUAUUAGCAGUUGAGUGUGCAGCGGUCUCCAUCUCCUAAGAUUCUGGCUGCUCUGGAAAAAGUGAGAACUGGCCACAGCACAGAAGUCCAGAGCCCGCUCUUCCCACCAGACAUCACCAUAAAUAAUUUCGGUAGAAAUGCCCAGAAGAGGACCCUGGAGCAUCAGUUAAUCCAUUAAAGACAACCUCAGAGGGCACCAAAAUAUUCUGAUGUCUCAAUAAGGAACAACAACAAAGCAAUUUCCUCCUGCAUCAGCUUGACAAAGGGUUAGGGGUGGGAUCCUGCAUUCACUUCUUCUCGGUGCUGGGACUCUGUCUGGCUGGAAGCUAUGCAGGUCAUGUGCACACAGCCACAAUCUCUGUUAGUUUAUAUGUGUGUCAGUGCUGUUGUGUCCGGAUGAUGCUGUCUGACUCUUACAACCUUUCUGCCUUCUCUUCCCUUAGAGUCCUGAACCUUAGGGGAGGGGCUUGAUGAUGACACCUCAUGUAAGACUGAGUUAUCAAAGCUGCUCACUCUGCUCAUCGCCUGGUCGUGGGGAGUCUAUGUUAAUUCCCACCCACUGAAAGAAGAUGCUUUUCUCACGAGGGUGGAGCAGAUGUCAUUGAACUUUGCCUCUGUUUGGACCAAUAGAGAAUGGAGGUUUUUCUGACAACACAGUAAAUCAAUUGAUUUUUAUGAAAUUUAUAGUUGAACAAAAUAAUGGGCUUCAUGGUGACAUUUUCUUACAAACAUGCUAUAAACUUUGAGAUCA